AGAGAAUCAAUGUUCCAGCUUCCAAUUCUGAAUUUUAGCCCUCAGCAGGUGGCGGGGGUAUGUGAGACGUUGGAGGAGAGCGGAGACAUUGAACGGCUUGGUCGAUUCCUCUGGUCACUGCCAGUGGCCCCAGCAGCGUGUGAGGCACUCAACAAAAACGAGUCCGUCCUCAGAGCUAGGGCUAUCGUGGCAUUCCACACGGGUAACUUCCGAGAGCUUUAUCAUAUCCUGGAGAAUCACAAGUUCACCAAGGAGUCACACGGCAAAUUGCAAGCCCUUUGGCUAGAAGCACACUACCAGGAAGCAGAGAAGCUAAGGGGCCGCCCGUUGGGUCCAGUGGACAAGUACAGAGUUCGAAAGAAGUUUCCCCUGCCCAGGACCAUCUGGGACGGGGAACAAAAGACUCAUUGCUUCAAGGAGAGAACAAGGCAUUUGUUGAGAGAGUGGUAUCUGCAGGACCCCUAUCCAAAUCCCAGCAAAAAACGAGAGUUAGCCCAAGCUACUGGACUUACACCUACACAAGUGGGUAACUGGUUUAAGAACCGAAGACAAAGGGACAGAGCAGCGGCAGCUAAAAACAGGCUGCAGCAGCAGAUUCUGUCACAGGCGUCCGUGCGUUCGUUGAGCGAGGAAGACGCUGCUGUGGAACCACUGGUUGGCGCUUCAAGUCCCGCUGCCAGCUUGUGCAGCGUGUCGGAGAGGAGCAAAGCGGCCACCUCGGCUAUCUCCAUCACGUCGAGCGACAGUGACUGCGACAUCUGAGGAGAGAACCCAGAGCCUGAGGGCGCCUCCAAAUUCCAGCACAAUGAGUCCAGUGAACCGCAGCGGAGGACCCCAGUCGCCAGGUCCUUGCAUCAUCCUCUUAGGAAUGGUUUAUUCUGCUUUCACGGCAGAAGACUUGACGACCACGGUCGUUAAAAUUAAAAAAAAAACUCGUGAUGACCUUUAUUUAAAGGAUACAUAUAGAAAAGAAAUUACCGAAGUGAUGCCUCGAUAACCAUUUCUGCCAAGCUGCAAGAUUUUGAGCACCUACCCUGUAACUUCGUGGGUAUUUCAUGUUGAAAGAAGCUGAGAAGUCUGUUCCACAUUUUCUUGAGCGACUACAUUUUCAGCGAAUUUGUCAGAAGGUCACAUAAAGCAAGUGAAGUAAACAUUAUAACCGUAGACGCAGAAAUGGGUAUUAAACUGCCCGAGCCUUCAACUGUCGAGCCAUAUGUAAAUAAGAAGUAACGGCCAAACAAGUAACAAGCGACAUGGGAGUGGGAUUCUGGAGAUAGUAUUAAUUACAAAAAAGGUAAAUUCAUCGCUUUAUUCGCAGUUUUCAAGGCAUACGCCAAUAACGUGGAAGAGCAAUAUUACUUAAAAGCGCAAUAUUGCUUUCCCACUCUGUUCUCAUCUUAAAGAGAAAGAAAACAUUGUAUUCUAAGGUGGCUAGGGGAGGAGAUGUGCAACAGCUUAUUAUCUUUUGUGUUCGAGGCUCGGGAAAUAUUUGAAAAAAUAUUUCCGUUUCUAUUCAAGCGCGAGGUGGACCUCAACAAGAAUGAAUGAAAAAAUCUUCUAAGUAGUCAAUAACAUUGUCAAACUUCUCUGAGUAAUAAACGCUAAUGAUGGGAUCUUGAGUCCCUGAAGGACAAAGGGCGCUUUAAGCAUUCUGUGAUGUGUAUUGGCUAACAAGGAGUUUACAAAAGAUUUACCAGGCAACAUUUUGAAUCCGCAAGAGGUAAGCAAAGCAAAUGACUGGGGUUCAGACAGCAUUGAACUAUAUACAACAAGAGAAAGGCAAGCGCGCGACUGAAUGGAUCCCAGAAAGAAACGUGAGCAACAUUGAUUUUAGACGGCUCCAUGGAGUACGUUGCUACGAGUUAACCGUCGAAAAUAACAAUGAUAAGGGUGUUCUGUCCCAAAUACCGAACAGAAAAAAUAUUAACUAUUUAAUGAUUAAGCUCUCAAUAUAAUUCUCGAGUUUCUUUCAGUUAAGAUUGAAUGACUUAGAUUAUGCCCCCACCACACAAGGGAAGUAUGAAGGAUUGCAAUUAAUGUAUUAAUAAUUAAAUGAUGCAACUUCAGAUGAAAUAUAGACUGACAGAAAGUUCGGGUGGCCGUGCUCCAAGCCGAUGUUUUAACAUAAAACAUAACAAAAAUGUUUUCAAAAGAUGCAUUUAACGUAUUAUAUAGGUUCUGUGGUAUUUAAAUAUGCAAAUCAGAGUAGAGCUGAAAAUUAAUUAUGCAUUAUUUUCACAAUAAUCUUGUUAGGAGUAAACAAACAUCUUCUUUCAGUACAAGACCUAACGCUUUCAGACCUCUACAAUAUUUGAUAUAAUUUAAUCACAAUUUGCACAUCUAUACCGUUAAAUCGGUGACAUAGUUUUAUUUUUCCACACUUGCAUUUUCGUUGUCAGGCUCCUGGUUAUUUUUCGCAAUGAUUUGAUCGUUUUCUUGUUCGUUCGCUGAGAAAGGCACACGAGUAAGAUAUACUUAUUAGUAUUCAUUGCAUGCUUCCCGUUUUGCGUUACUUGGACUUGCCGGGGAGUUUAAUUAUAAGCUAGUGAAAUAAUUAUCUAUAAAUACUAUACAAAAAGUUUCCAAUGUCUAAUCAAAGAUUUAAUUUUGAACGAAACCCCACGUUUUCUUAAUAUAUUUACUACGGUAGACAUUAUAACAAUAUUGUACUUAUUAUCAGGCACCUCCACAGCAUAAUUUUGUUACUCUGAUGUUAGAAAGUUAGGGGAUACUGGAUAUUUUAGCAUCUGCUUUUUUUUUUCCUAAACUUCCGAUCAUAUAAUCCCUAUGUCAUAAAAUUAUUCAACUGUUAAUAGGUUUAACAUAUCACUUAGUUUUUAUUACACUGCCAUUGUAGUUCCAAUGAUACAAGGACAUCUCGAACUAUAUGCUGUACAUCUCUAUUUCUCUAUGACUAUAUGGAAUAAAAUUUAUCUCCAUUCAGAAAUCAAACCCCUUACCCAAAAUUGGUUUUAUUACGGAACUUCCUAUUAUGAAUGUGAUUGUCACCUAGAUCAUGGCCCAUACAUCCUUUUCUCUUACCUUCCAAUCAAUGCACAUAUGAUGGCCACAAUUAGGAAUUAUUGAUACACAUAAACUAUAAUUUUCCAUCUAGAUUUGAAUUAUUAAGGCUUUUACAUUGACCUGUAAUAUUUAAAACGUGCUUAUAUUAAGUAGAUGGUGAACAGGUCUUAUAGACAGUUACCUAAUUGGUCACAAGUAAAUGCCAACUUCACAGAUCUCCCCGGUACUGUGAGAUUAGUCUAUUUGCUGU